rnacentral:rRNA from 1 species
AUGCUCUGGGUCGCCAACUGCCCCUGCACGCACUGGGCCAUCGGGUGCGGCGGCAGCGACUGCAACGGCAUCCGCAAUAUGUUCACCCCGGAUGUCUGCGAUAGUGCGAAAUGGCCGGCGCAGGGGCAGGGCCCGUGCGUCUACACCGCCUUGCCGUACAACCCAGUCGACGGGCGUCGCGUCGCCGCCCAAGCCACCACCAUCUCAAUCGCCGCCAACGCCACGGACGGCAAGAACCCGCUCUUCCCGGCCACCUUCCCCGUCGUCGCGUCCUGCGCGCCGGGGGAGUUCUUGGCCUCGCUCCCGGCGGACGUGGCCGGCGUCGCGGGGCUCGCGAGGCUGCUUAACUCUUUGCCGUUGCAGGUCGCCCAGUGGUACCGCCUGAAGCAACAGUUCGCGCUGUGCCUGCCCAGGGGCGGGGACGGCGGCCAUUUCCAGCUGCUGGCCGCGCCAACCGUGGAGCUCGCCGACAGCCUCCGCAAGAACCCUCUCCCGUUCCUCUUCAACCCCAAAAACCGCGCCUACUACUUUACCAUCACUGGCAUCGCCGUGAACCAGCAGCGCGUGCCCACUCCGUCCGGCGCCUUCGACAUGGAAAGGAGAGGCCAGGGCGGCGCCGCCUUCAGCACCGUCACGCCCUACACCGCGCUCCGCUGGGACAUCUACUGGCCGCUCCGCAACGCGUUCGACGCGGCCACGAGCGGCAUCGCGCACGAGGACAAGGUGGCGCCGUUCGACAUGUGCUACCAGGCGUCGGAGCUCGCCAUGACCAGCGUGGGCUAUGCCGUGGCCAACAUCGACCUGAUGCUGGACGGAGGCCAGAACUGGACACUGCCGGGCGCCAGCUCGCUCGUGCAGGUGAACGACCGGACGGUGUGCUUCGCGUUCGUUCAGACGGAUUCGCCGGUGCCGGCACAUGCUGAGUCGCCGGCGGUGAUCCUCGGGGGGCACCAGUUGGAGGACAACCUGCUUAUGUUUGAUCUGGUGAAGGACACGUUCGCGUUCAGUGGGCUGCUCCUCGGCAUCGGCACUACCUGCAGCAACUUCGACUUCAUCAUGGGGAGUUCUUAG